UGGCCUGUGACGAAAGCAUUAUGAGAAAACACACCAUCUUUCGGGACUGAAUGGCUGUCUUCAGCCUUGCUGACAUUCUGCAAUUCUGAGGCCU